GAUGAAGAACGUAGCGAAAUGCGAUCAGUAAUGUGAAUUGCAGAAUUCAGUGAAUCAUCGAAUCUUUGAACGCACCUUGCGCCCUUUGGCUAUUCCGAAGGGCAUGCCUGUUUGAGUAUCAUGAACACCUCAACUCUUUAUGGUUUUCCAUGAAGGGCUUGGACUUUGGGGGUCUUGCUGGCCUUUAGUCAGCUCCUCUCAAACGAAUCAGCUUUCCAGUGUUUGGCAGCGUCACAGGUGUGAUAACUAUCUACGCUUGUGGUUUUCUGCCAGGUAAUCCUCAGUGAUGGGGAUUCGCUGGGGCUUAUAAAUGUCUCUCCUCAGCGAAGACAGCUUUGUGAACGUUUGAUCUCAAAUCAGGUAGGACUACCCGCUGAACUUAAGCAUAUCAAUAAGCGGAGGA
rnacentral:misc_RNA from 1 species